GGUCCUGUGGUCUAGUGGUUUAUGACAGCCGGGAGGGAACCGGAAAACCUAUGUUCGAUUCAUAGCAGGGCCA
rnacentral:tRNA from 1 species